UUCGUAGGCGGUGUGGCAAGUUGGGAGUGAAAUCUCUGGGCUCAACCCAGAGGCUGCUUCCAAAACUGCCAUGCUUGAGUGUGGGAGAGGCGCGUGGAAUUGCAGGUGUAGCGGUGAAAUGCGUAGAUAUCUGCAGGAACACCCGUGGCGAAAGCGGCGCGCUGGACCACUACUGACGCUGAGGAACGAAAGCUAGGGGAGCAAACA
rnacentral:rRNA from 1 species